rnacentral:rRNA from 1 species
AGAGUUUGAUCAUGGCUCAGGAUNNNNNNUAGCGGCAGGCUUAAUACAUGCAAGUCGUGGGGCAGCAGGACUGUAGCAAUACAGUUGCUGGCGACCGGCAAACGGGUGCGGAACACGUACGCAACCUUCCUUUAAGUGGGGGAUAGCCCGGGGAAACCCGGAUUAAUACCCCGUAAUAUUAUGAGGUGGCAUCAUCUUAUAAUUAUAGCUCCGGCGCUUAAAGAUGGGCGUGCGUCUGAUUAGGUAGUUGGCGGGGUAACGGCCCACCAAGCCUACGAUCAGUAACUGGUGUGAGAGCACGACCAGUCACACGGGCACUGAGACACGGGCCCGACUCCUACGGGAGGCAGCAGUAAGGAAUAUUGGUCAAUGGACGCAAGUCUGAACCAGCCAUGCCGCGUGGAGGAUGAAGGUCCUCUGGAUUGUAAACUUCUUUUAUCUGGGAAGAAACCCAAGGUUUCUACUUUGGUUGACGGUACCAGAUGAAUAAGCACCGGCUAACUCCGUGCCAGCAGCCGCGGUAAUACGGAGGGUGCAAGCGUUAUCCGGAUUCACUGGGUUUAAAGGGUGCGUAGGUGGGCAGGUAAGUCAGUGGUGAAAUCUCCGGGCUUAACCCGGAAACUGCCGUUGAUACUAUCUGUCUUGAAUAUCGUGGAGAUGAGCGGAAUAUGUCAUGUAGCGGUGAAAUGCUUAGAUAUGACAUAGAACACCGAUUGCGAAGGCAGCUCGUUACACGGUCAUUGACACUGAGGCACGAAAGCGUGGGGAUCAAACAGGAUUAGAUACCCUAGUAGUCC